rnacentral:tRNA from 1 species
GUCAGUUUGUCCGAGCGGUUAAGGAGUUGGACUUGAAAUCCAAUGGGCUAUGCCUGCACAGGUUCAAAUCCUGUAGCUGACG